ACUAAAAUGGCAGAAAAAUGCAUAAGAUUUAAGCUCUUAUUAUGAAACAUAGUUUCUUUUAGUA
rnacentral:tRNA from 1 species